ensembl:lncRNA
GGGCACAAUCUAUUUAGAAAACAGGAGCAGUACGGUAUACUUUUGUAAUUCCUCAACUCAAAUGAAAUAAUAUCCCUAGGUCUCUAAUCUAUUAUUUUCAUGUUAAACAUGAACUUUAAACCUGUAGCCUGCAACGUUGAUAUGUGACACAGUAAAAAGGCAAGGAUUGAAUGGUAUUCAAAUGAAGAUGAUAUGGUAUUCAAAUUAAGGUGGCAUGGUAUUCAAAUGAAGAUGAUAUGGUAUUCAAAUUAAGGUGGCAUGGUAUUCAAAUGAAGAUGAUAUGGUAUUCAAAUGAAGAUGAUAUGGUAUUCAAAUUAAGGUGGCAUGGUAUUCAAAUUAAGGUGGCAUGGUAUUCAAAUUAAGGUGAAAUGGUAUUCAAAUUAAGGUGGCAUCCUUAUGUUUGACUUUGCAGAUGUUUCCUCCUGAU